UGCAUGCAUGCAUGCAUGCAUGCAUGCAUGCAUGCAUGCAUGCAUGCAUGCAUGCAUGCAUGCAUGCAUGCAUGCAUGCAUGCAUGCAUGCAUACAUACAUA
rnacentral:pre_miRNA from 11 species